rnacentral:rRNA from 1 species
UACGGAGGGUCCAAGCGUUAUCCGGAAUCAUUGGGUUUAAAGGGUCCGUAGGCGGUUUUGUAAGUCAGUGGUGAAAGCCCAUCGCUCAACGGUGGAACGGCCAUUGAUACUGCAAGACUUGAAUUAUUGGGAAGUAACUAGAAUAUGUAGUGUAGCGGUGAAAUGCUUAGAGAUUACAUGGAAUACCAAUUGCGAAGGCAGGUUACUACCAAUAUAAUUGACGCUGAUGGGACGAAAAGC